AAGUCGUAACAAGGUUUCCGUAGGUGAACCUGCGGAAGGACCAUUACCGAGUGAGGGUCCUCGUGGCCCGACCUCCAACCCGUUGUCGAUGUUACCAUGUUGCUUUGGCGGGCCGGUCUCCGGGACCGCCCGAGGGCAUCAGCCCCUGGGCCCGUGCCCGCCAGUAGCCCCCCUCCAACCUCUGAAUGAACGGUGAUGUCUGAGUGUACACGAAAUAAUUAAAACUUUCAACAACGGAUCUCUUGGUUCUG
rnacentral:misc_RNA from 1 species